GCAUGUAGCUCAGUUGGUAGAGUGCUUGUCUGACAUACAGGAAGUCCUGGGUUCAAUCCCCAGCACAGCA